rnacentral:misc_RNA from 1 species
AGCAGAGGAGAGAGGGGGGGGAUCCUCUGGUAUUUCGGAGUGCUGUUGCUGGCCUUUGGCAUGUGCACGUCUCCGGAGUCCGACGGUGUCCCUUUGUUCUCCGAAGCUCCAUACCUCUCAAACCACCUCUGUGCACCCGUUGUAGGUCUCGUUGCUGGGACCUAUGUAUUCUUUUAGCUCGCAUGUAUACAGAAUGUUGUCUAGUCGUGUCGUCCGGCCCAGUGUCGGCGACCGCAUUAUAAUAUA